rnacentral:misc_RNA from 1 species
UUUUAUUUUUUUAUUUUUUUUUCUCUUUAUUAUGGAGGUAUUUUAUAAAAUGAGAUUUGAAAGAAGAAGACUAAACAAUUAUAUAAAAUUGAAAUAAUCAACUUAAUUUAGGUUUAGUUGAUGAAAAUAUGUAAAAUAGAUGACCCUUAUUUGAAGAAAAAUACCAAUUAAUGUUGACUUGAAAUGAUGAAUUGUGGUUGAGAUCUAGAGAAGCUUUUAACAAACUGAAUUUGUGAUGAGAGUAUUCAAGAAUUUCAAUUAUGAGUAGCACAGUAAGUAUUAUAUUGGAUUUAAUUUUAAUUAGAAUUCUUUAUAUAUUUAUUUUUAACUAUUGUAAAAAAAAUAGAGAAAAAAAAAUCAAUAUUGAUUAAAUAUGAUCCACAUUAGUUUCAUAUAAGCAAUGCUUGUGCUCUAUUUAAUCAACAAUUGUGAAUUAGAGUAGGAUAGCAACGGACUAAGUUUUUGAUAGAUAUUUAACUCAAAUGAAUCGGGUUUAGGGUGAAUUUAAAUUUGAAUAAUAAUAUUCGUGAAUUCAAGCUUUGUGUAUUGAAUAUUUACUAUUUUAAUUUAUUUAUAUAAAUAUUUAAUAAAAUAUAAAAUAUAUAUUUUUUAU